UAGCUUACCCCUGUGUGCUGGCCUUGGU
rnacentral:piRNA from 1 species